GACGAAUGCUGGCUGCGUGCUUAACACAUGCAAGUCGAACGGUGAAAGGGAGCUUGCUCCCUGGAUCAGUGGCGAACGGGUGAGUAACACGUGGGCAACCUGCCCCUCACUCUGGGAUAACUCCGGGAAACCGGGGCUAAUACCGGAUACGACCUGGUGCGACAUCGCACCGGGUGGAAAGAACUUCGGUGAGGGAUGGGCCCGCGGCCUAUCAGCUUGUUGGUGGGGUAACGACCCACCAAGGCGACGACGGGUAGCCGGCCUGAGAGGGCGACCGGCCACACUGGGACUGAGACACGGCCCAGACUCCUACGGGAGGCAGCAGUGGGGAAUAUUGCGCAAUGGGCGAAAGCCUGACGCAGCGACGCAGCGUGAGGGACGAAGGCCUUCGGGUUGUAAACCUCUUUCAGCGGGGACGAAGCGAAAGUGACGGUACCCGCAGAAGAAGCACCGGCUAACUACGUGCCAGCAGCCGCCGUAAAAC
rnacentral:rRNA from 1 species